UCUUAGGGAUGAACAGAGAAAGAAGUUUCCUGAGAUGGAAUCUACUCUUGUUGAAGAUGCUGUGAA
rnacentral:pre_miRNA from 1 species